rnacentral:rRNA from 1 species
GACGAACGCUGGCGGCGUGCUUAACACAUGCAAGUCGAGCGAUGAAGCUCCUUCGGGAGUGGAUUAGCGGCGGACGGGUGAGUAACACGUGGGUAACCUGCCUCAUAGAGGGGAAUAGCCUUCCGAAAGGAAGAUUAAUACCGCAUAAGAUUGUAGUACCGCAUGGUAUAGCAAUUAAAGGAGCAAUCCGCUAUGAGAUGGACCCGCGUCGCAUUAGCUAGUUGGUGAGGUAACGGCUCACCAAGGCGACGAUGCGUAGCCGACCUGAGAGGGUGAUCGGCCACAUUGGGACUGAGACACGGCCCAGACUCCUACGGGAGGCAGCAGUGGGGAAUAUUGCACAAUGGGGGAAACCCUGAUGCAGCAACACCGCGUGAGUGAUGACGGUCUUCGGAUUGUAAAGCUCUGUCUUCAGGGACGAUAAUGACGGUACCUGAGGAGGAAGCCACGGCUAACUACGUGCCAGCAGCCGCGGUAACAC